ACGGAGGGUGCAAGCGUUAAUCGGAAUUACUGGGCGUAAAGCGCGCGUAGGUGGCUCAUCAAGCCAGAUGUGAAAUCCCCGGGCUCAACCUGGGAACUGCAUUUGGAACUGAAGAGCUAGAGUACAGCAGAGGAGUGUGGAAUUUCAGGUGUAGCGGUGAAAUGCGUAGAGAUCUGAAGGAACAUCAGUGGCGAAGGCGACACUCUGGGCUGAUACUGACGCUGAGGUGCGAAAGCGUGGGUAGCAAACAGGAUUAGAUACCCUGGUAGUCCACGCCGUAAACGAUGUCUACUAGUUGUUGGGACCCUUGAGGUCUUAGUGACGCAGCUAACGCGAUAAGCAGACCGCCUGGGGAGUACGGCCGCAAGGUUA
rnacentral:rRNA from 1 species